rnacentral:lncRNA from 1 species
UCUGGUUUCAUGUAUUACCUUUUCGACUUGGUUACGGGUACAAUCCAGGGCUAUAGCGAGCAAAUGGUUUAAUUCAAGGGGGAUAUCAGAGGCGGUCUGGGUGCCAAUGGGGAGGCCGUCGACGUGAGGGACGGUGAGAGAUUGCAAGGUGAUGAGAUGAGGAUAAAGAUUGAAGUGUUGCAAUUGUUGUAUAGCUUCGGUUGGCAGCAAAAAAGUGGUGGAGCAGCCUCUCUCUGCAAGGCUGUUGGCGAGAUGGAGGAACGGCGUCAUGUGACCGACGGCAAACCAUGGGAACAUCACCAAGUGAAGAUCUGAGCUCUUGGGGUUGCUCAUUUUUUUCCGUAGAUUGCUUGGAUUGGAUUCUAGAUUUUAUGCAGGUUCCCUUUUCUUGGUUGGAUUUAUAUAAAGCUCAUGGAUUUUGUGAUUUGAAGAUAAAAAGAAAAUUAAUUUGUCAGAGUCGGUAGAGUAGGUGGGAUGAGUGAAACUCCAUUAAUGAAAAAUUAAAUAUCCAAGAAACAUGAGGCGAAUAAAUUACAUAUAGAGAUCUACAGCUCAUCUAUGUUAAAUAUUUGGAGGUUGAUUCCCACGUUGAUUUGUCAUGCACAAAUUUCAACAUAAAUAUUUAAUUUAAAAAUUAUUAAACUUGUUUUUUUAUGUGAAAUUGAUUUUAUACACAGUUAUUUAAAAUGGAUUUUACAAUAAUGUGACAGUUUUAAUUAAAUGGUUAGUGUGGAACUCUAUUAAUAAAGAAACUAAUUAAUUAAUUAAGAAUUUUGAAUCUUAAUAAGUUUAUAACUAAUAGAUUUAAUAUUUACAUGUUGAUUCGUAUUUUAAAUAAUUAAACACAAAUUUUGAUAGAAAUAUUUAAUUUAAAAUUCUUAUAUGAGAUUGAUUUUAUAUUGAACUUAAUUACUUCGUGAAAUGGUUUACAAUAGUUUUAAAUGAAUAGGGUAAGUGAAUAGUUAAAUUAAAAUUUCGAAAUCAUAUAAAAUAAUAUAUUUAAAUUCAAUAAAUAUAAAUUUCGUAUAGAAUUAUAUUCAUAAAAAAUAACAUUAAAAAUCUCUUAUUAAAUACUAAAAAAUUAAAUUACAAAAAUAAAAGAGAAGAUUUAAUCAAGUGUAAAACUAAUGUAAACAAAUAAAAAAAUAUUAAAGAAAGUAGUAAUCUAACAUGCAACUGAGGAAAUUUCGGAAUGGUUGCACAAUAAAUAUCAUUAAUAUUCUCUCCCCGUAUUAGAGGUGCCCCAUGCACAGAUCCUUCAUAAGAAAAUGAGAAGAGAAAAAUCCAACAGAAACAUGAUUAGUUUUGCACAAUUUGGCUACAUAAAUCAAAUUUUGCAUAAAUUAGGAAGACACAGAACAUUAGAUGAGGAAAGUGGUCUAUGAACUAUAUUGAUAUGUGCAUAAAUAGUAUAAGAAAUAGAAAUAAUUUUACCAUCACCCAAGAGAAUUUCAUCUGGACCUCCAUAAUUAGAAUUUCCUUGCAAAGCAAACGGAUUCAAAGCCACAUGAUGCAAUGCUCCACUGUCAAACGACCAAGGCUGAUGUGUUUGAGUGGACAUAGCAGUAGUAGCAUUAGCUACAGGAUUAGAAUGCACAGUUGAAAACUGAUUAAAAUGGAUAGUGAUAUUGUUCUCCAUAAAAAAUAUAGCAAGCUUCCUAUAAUUAACAGUAUUGUGACCUGCAAUUUAACAAAAUUAACAAAAAUCAUCUACUCUAUAACCUCCAUAAUUACUGGUGUGAUUGUGGCGAUAAGAAUUCCCAUCAUAACCUCCAUGAUUUAUGUGAAAAGUAGAAUUCUUAUUUGAUUGAACAAAAUUCAAAGUACACUGCAAAAAGGGUUGUGCCUUGGUGGUUUGCUUAUAAGUUGCAUUCACAGUAGCAAUGACAGGUGAUAACACUUACUCUUUGUCUUUCAAUAGUCUUUUAAAAUCUAUUAGUUUUUCAAACAAUUCUGAGAAAGGAAUGGGUGAUUCAUGAACCUUGAUUGCUACAACAAAAUGAUUGAACUCAUCUCCUAAGUGAGCAAUAAUAUGAACAAUGAGGACUUCUUCACUCAUUGGAUUUUGAGUGAGAGCUAAUUCAUUAGCAAUUGAUCACAUUUCAUUUAGAAAUUCAGCCAACCAAUUUGGAACCUUUAGGAGUUUGAAGUGUUGGCAUAGCUAAGAUUCAAUGGUUUCCAAGCUUCCUUGGACAACAUAGCUAAAGAAAAAAGCGGCUGAAUAGCAUCUGAAUAACUAUCUAAAAUUGCACCUCGUUGAAACCAGAGAGUAUAAGUUGGAUUGAUGGUUUUUUGUUACUGAUCAAGAAAUUCAGAUGGUGCAGCUAGUAUACAUCGAUAGACCCUAACAAAUCCAAUCCAAUGAGAGUGAUUAAAUUUGCCCCCGGCAAAUAGGAAAGUUAUUCUCAAGGUAAGCUUGAUCGGAAAUGGGUUAGAGCAUUUAACUACAUAAUAUAAGAUGUAGUUGAAGUGGUAAUUACCAUAGUAAACAAAGUGUGAAUUGAAUCAAUAAUCUAUUCAUAGCAGAAGGUUACAAUUUAUACAAAGAAGAAGCUAAAGAUACAAAAGCGUUACAAUUUAUACAAAGAUGAAGCUAAAGAUAUAAAAGCCUAUUCAAGAUAUAGUUACGGCUAACUAAGUUUAAAUUAAGGAACUUAUCGACAAUAUAAAUUUUAAAUAAGAUAAGAACAACAAAGACUAAGUCUUAGACUUAUCUUUUAUAUAUAUUAGUCUUAUUGAACACAAACAAGAAUCAUCUUCUUUGUCUUUUGAAAAUACCUCUUAUUCACUUAUAAACUUAGCUUCCUUAAAGAUAUUACCCAGCUUCAUUACUCUCAUUUACUGUCCUCCUCGCCAAAUCUAGUUCAUUUACUCUCCCCAAAUCGAGUCAUCCAAGUCAAGUGUCACGAUCUCAUAAUCCCUAAAUCUUAGAAUCAUCAAUGAGUAGAUAGUUUAAACUUGUGAUCAUUGAUUUAUUGAUUAUAGAAGAAAGACAUAAUUAUGGACGCAACCCAAUAUUGAGAUAAUAAACCACCUAAAUAUUUUUGUUUUAGUUAGUUGCUUUAUUUUUGUUUUUGUGUUUUUAUAUGAUUUUACAACCUACUAUAUGCAUAUUUUAUAUGUUUCAAUCUUGCAAAAUUUAUAUUACCAAAUAAGAGAAAUUAUUGAGUAUUCUAAGUGUAUGUUGAAGUUUACGCUUUUAUAAUAUACAACACACAUAUUUUAUAUUAUUCAAUCAGAUAAAUUUUAUAUUAUCAAAUAAGAGAAUAAGUUGAAUGUUCUAAGUGUAUAAUAGGUGGUAUACCAAAUCAAUAUAUAAUAUUAGAAUAAAUAAUUAAAAAUAGGAUUUGCGUUGAAUAUACAUAUUAAGAAAUUAAACAUUAUCUUCUAAAUUUUUUAAAUUAUUUUAUAUUUUAAAUUUAAAUUUAAAUUUUUUAAUUAAAAGUGAAGAAAUAUGUGAUAUUCAAUUUCACGUGAAUAGUAAUUAACAGGCAAAUAAUUGACAAUAAAACUACUGGAAAAACUACCGGAAAACACCGGAUACCAAUUCAACUAUAAAGAUAUUUUUUCUGAUUUAUAAUUUUUUUUUUUUUGUUUUUAAAAUAGGGGAGGGGGAGUCGAACCUUAAACUUUUUAAGAUUAUAGGAUGCACUUUCCACCAGGCUAAGCCUUAGAGUGCUGAUUUAUAAUAUUUAUAAUUGGAACUUUCAUGCAUUGAAAUUAAAUUCUUUCUUCGGACGAUUUUAAAAGUAUAUUUCUCGGUAUUAAAUGAAUAAAAUGAAAAUAAAUAAUUAUAAAUGAUUCCCAACGAAUCAAAUACUCAUCUUUUCCAACAUUUCAAAGUUGGCACUUAUUGGUGCUUGUCUUAAUCGGGAAGGAAAAUUAAUAAAUGAGUUGUCUGAUAAUUAUCAAAUGUCUAAAUUUUUCAUUUCAAUUGAUUUUGUUAGUGAUAAUUAUCGGUGAGUGCUGGGAAGUCACCUUUCUUUCAUACGGGCUGUUUUUUAAGUGUUCGCAAGUUAACUUUUUCUCGAGGGAGCCGUAUUUAGUUGAGAUUUAAAAAAUUAAUUAAAUUGAAUUCAUUUAAAAUUUUAAUUUAAUUUUUUAUAUAUUUUAAUUCAAUUUAAUUUUAAUUUAAUUUAAUUUUAAUUAAAAAAUUAAAAAAUUAAAAAAUUGAAUUGAAUUAAUUAAUUAUAAUAGUAUAUUAUUUUCAAUAAUUGGAAGAGAUUAAAUCAUAUUAAAAUUAAAAUAUUUUAAUUAAAUUUUAAAAUAUUAAAAAUAUAGGAUAAAAAAUAACAAAUGUUAAAAUAUUAAAAAUUAAAAUAUUUUAAUCAGACUGAUUUAAUUCGAUUUAAUUUUUAAUUAAAAUUAAUUCGGUUUAAUUUGUAUAAAUAUUAAAAUUUUAAUUUUUAAUUUAUUUAAUUCGAUUUAAUUUUAAACUGAAUCGAUCGAAUAUUUAUCUCAACCUUUCUUUAGAAAAGUUACAUUUAAUAUUUAAUACUUAGCGUUAGUCUUUUUAUUUUAAAAUUUAAUAUUUAAAGUUUUUUUUAUCAACAAAACAACCAUAUAAAUUAAGAUAUUUAUUUAUAAUUUAAUUUAUUUCUACAUUUUUAUAAUUUUUUUCCUUAAAUUUAUUUUUUUAAAAUAAGCUCCUUUGCUAUAAAUUAAUCUCAUGUUCAUCAAUUUCAAUGUUAUUUGAAAAAAAUAAUAAAAUAAAAAUUAAAUCAGCUGUUCACAUUUGCCCUAAUUUAAUAAAAAAAAUUAAAUAAAUUGAAGAAAAAUGUUGGACUAGAAAAGAUAUUUUGUGCUUGAGUAAUGAUGUGUGUUGCUUUUGGAUUCUUGACUUAGUUUAAUUGUAUUUUUUACUUUUUUCUACUGAGAUAGAUCAUCAAAAAAAGAAAUAUUACAACACUAUGCUGUUGGCUUAGUGGUCUAUUAAAUAUUUAAGUGAUUAUAAAUAUUAAAUAAAAUAUAAAAUUAUUUACAGUUUUAAUUUAAUAAUAAGUGUAUUUAAAUAAAUUUAAAAUAUUUUAAAUUUUAUUUUUUAAAUUUUUGAUUCUAUUUUAAAAAAUUAAAAUAUAAAAUAAAAUAAAAAUAAUAAUAGUAUAUAUGAUUAUCGAGGUGAUUGACUCUAAAAGAUAAAAUUCAGACGAAGGUGAUAGCCUUUUGUCCCUUAGGGCAGACAAGUGCCAUAAAACAAAAAUGUUCUAACAUUGUGUUGCCUUUGACUGACUCGGUGGGCAUUGUCGUCUACUUAAGAUUUAUCUUUAAAAAAUAAUAUAUGUUGAGAAUCUAUUCAACAAUUUCAAUAAACAAUAUAAUAAUCCAAAUUUUGGCUUCAUGUAGAUCUGACUAUUAAAUAUUCAUUUAUCAACAAAAAUCUAAAAAUAACAUAUUAUAUUUGUGAUUUUCAAAAAAAAAAAAUUAUAUUGGCAUUUUGAAAUUUUUUAUGUGAGCAUAUGUACGCACAUGCGUAGACGAAUUUAAUUAAGAUUAAAGUUAUAAUUUAAAAAAAUAAAUUAUUUAGUCUUUAAGAUCUAGCAACCCUCAUUGAAUAAUUCAUUAAUUUAAAAAAUUUAUUAAAAAUAUUUUUUAUAUAAAAUAUAGUAUUUAUAAAAAAAAUUAUAAUACUUCAUUUGUUUAUAAAAAAUAAUUUAUAUUUUAAAAAUAUUUUUUAUAUAAAAUGUUAUUUAUAAAAAGAAAUUAUAAAAAAAAUUAUUUUUUUGUUAUUUGAUUGUAAUUUAAAAAAUAAAAGAUAUUAAUCAAUUUAUAAUAAUAAGAUAUUAAUCAAUUUCCCUAAAUUCUAGAAAUGGACUUUGUUCUUAAAAAAAUGAUAUUUUUCUUAUAAAAAAAUACUUGAUUUAUUUUUUGAUCAAUAUUUUUUAGUAUUUCAAAUAUUAGAAAUGUGGAAUUCAAAUAUAAAAAAUGAUAUUUCGUCUGUGUUGAGAAUCUGAAAUAUUUACACACUUUGGCCACAAUAUUCUAUCGGAGCCUUCAUUGGACAUAUCAAGACAUAAAGAAGAUAAUAGACAAGCCCUCAAGUAAAUUUUUUUCCCCCACAAGCUAUCUGGAUACAUAGUUCUUUCUUUCAUUUUAAAUUAAGAAAACGAAAAAGCAUGAACUUGACCUAAUUUUAUAUUGAUUUUUCACAGACUUCUCCCACACCGUAUUAAAUUUAAAUUAAAUUUAAUUCACUCAAAAACUAAUUUAAAAGAAAUAGUAUCUAAAACUCUACUCCUAUUCUAUUUUAAAUUAAUGUGAAAUUUAAUAACUACUAAAUAAAUUAAAUAUUUGUAUUUAAUUAGAAAUUCAUCACUUUAUAAUUAGGAAAAUUAUAAGAUAUUCAAAUUAUAGCACCUAAACUCUAAUAGAUACUUUGAUUUGAACCAUUAGUGUGAUUUGAACCACUAAGACUCGAGAUACUAAUCUAUUAGUGUGAUUUGAGUCAUUAAGAUUCGAUAUGCUAAUCUAUCGAUUCAAGUACUUAGAUUUUUUAUCGACCUAAAUCACUAAGGUAGAGAAAGUGAAUAAAAUUUAUAAGAUAUGAAUUCUCAUCCAUUAAUAAAAAUUUAUUUUCUAGGUAAUUGAAGUGUUCUUUAUGUUGUAUAAUAUAGUUGAAGUGGUAAAUAUAUUGAGCUAUGUACAAUAAAUAAUUAAUGAAAGGGAUUAACUAAUAUAUUUAUUAAGAGUAAUUUAUUAUGAGAGAUUUAUCUAAAUCGAAUCUACAUGAAUUUAUAAUAUAAAAUUAUAGUGAGAUUCACAUAAAAUUUUAUAUAUUCACAUUAUAUGUUUAUAUCAGAAUUUAAAUCUUCACUCUCUAUUUUUUAUUAAAAAAAUUAAUUUAUUAUAUAUCAUAUAAUAACAUCAGCAUUUUUAAAAUAUAAAAUCGAAAUAACAUAAAUAAUUAAAUUAUUAAUAAAUUAUUAUAUAUUACAUGAAAUUCACCAUGAUAAUAUAUAUCUGGUAAAUUUCUCCCAAUGGCAUGGAAUCAUACCAUUACUUUGACAAGUUGUUGCAUAUCUUGUACAAAUUUAUCAACGUAACCACUCAUCAACUCUUUGUUUAUCAUCUUCUCCCUCCACUUCCUGUGAUUCUCUUUAAGCAUUGAACCAAAUUCAUUGCCUUUAUCCAUCACUGAGUGAAUGGCUUUGCUCACGUUCUCCUUGGAAAACCACCCACUUUCGUCUCUCUCCACCUCCACUGCCACCUUUAACUCUUCAGCCAUGAACCUUGCGUUCAAGAUUUGAUCGCCUAGGCGUGGCACCAAUACUACUUGACAAUCACUAAGCAAAGACUCCCACAUCGAGCCAAACCCACAAUGGUUCACAAAGCACCCUACCGAUGGGUGAUCUAAGAUCAUUAGCUGUUGUACCCAGCCACCCCAGACGACUCCUCUCCCUUUAACCCUCUCUUCGAACCCCUCCGGCAGCGCUUCUUCCACUGUUGCCGCGCCUGCUGGAGGUUUUAGGGCAACUAAAAAUGGCAGACCUGUUAACUCGAACCCUAAAACCAGCUCUUGAAAUUGAUCCUUUUCCAGUAUACUUUGGCUUCCAAACGCACAGAACAACACUGAACCUUGUUCAAACCAACUUAGCCAUUUACACCACCGAUCUUCUAAGGGUGUCUUAGUUGGCCCAGGCAAGACAGGUCCGGUUAGAAACACUGGCUUUCCAUGUUGACUUCCAAUGUAAUCACAAAAGUUCCCUUCAGUUUCAUUGCAAGUUCUUAUAGCUAGUGCAUCACUUUCUUUCAUUGCUUUGAACAUUCUAUCAUAAAACGUUAUUCCUUCACCGAAAGGUUGGGAUACAAAUAACAAUGAACGCACUUCAUGGGCACGAAGCACAGUAGUUGUCGAUGGAUAGCCAGAAGGUGGCAUUAACAUUUCAGACUCAGUAAUGGGCCUAUCUUCAGGCACAUUUCGUGCCGGAACUAGUACUAUUGCUAUGGAGGCUGCUGAAACUACGGUGUAGUGUAUGGCCUUAAUGCCAAGAGCUUUUGUUAUCUCCGGCACCCAGUGAGCCAUAUCAUAGAUAACAAACUUAGGUCUGGUUUCAUGUAUUACCUUUUCGACUUGGUUACGGGUACAAUCCAGGGCUAUAGCGAGCAAAUGGUUUAAUUCAAGGGGGAUAUCAGAGGCGGUCUGGGUGCCAAUGGGGAGGCCGUCGACGUGAGGGACGGUGAGAGAUUGCAAGGUGAUGAGAUGAGGAUAAAGAUUGAAGUGUUGCAAUUGUUGUAUAGCUUCGGUUGGCAGCAAAAAAGUGGUGGAGCAGCCUCUCUCUGCAAGGCUGUUGGCGAGAUGGAGGAACGGCGUCAUGUGACCGACGGCAAACCAUGGGAAC